GCGGGAGUAACUCAGCUGGCAGAGUGUCUGCUUCCCAAGCAGAAUGUCGCGGGUUCGAAUCCCGUCUCCCGCUCCA
rnacentral:tRNA from 7 species